rnacentral:rRNA from 1 species
AGUGAACGCUGGCGGUAGGCCUAACACAUGCAAGUCGAACGGCAGCACAGGAGAGCUUGCUCUCUGGGUGGCGAGUGGCGGACGGGUGAGGAAUACAUCGGAAUCUACUCUGUCGUGGGGGAUAACGUAGGGAAACUUACGCUAAUACCGCAUACGACCUACGGGUGAAAGCAGGGGACCUUCGGGCCUUGCGCGAUUGAAUGAGCCGAUGUCGGAUUAGCUAGUUGGCGGGGUAAAAGCCCACCAAGGCGACGAUCCGUAGCUGGUCUGAGAGGAUGGUCAGCCACACUGGAACUGAGAAACGGUCCAGACUCCUACGGGAGGCAGCAGUGGGGAAUAUUGGACAAUGGGCGCAAGCCUGAUCCAGCCAUACCGCGUGGGUGAAGAAGGCCUUCGGGUUGUAAAGCCCUUUUGUUGGGAAAGAAAUCCAGCUGGCUAAUACCCGGUUGGGAUGACGGUACCCAAAGAAUAAGCACCGGCUAACUUCGUGCCAGCCGCCGCGGUAA